GCUAUCGUGUGUGCAUGUGUGUGGUGACGUGUGUUAGCGUUUUGUGUAAGGGACACAGCUUCUAGCAUAUUUGCUGAAUUAUUCUUACUCUAGGAUAUUGUGUCCUUUUUUAAACUUCAAGAUGAUAAAAAGUGAAGGGAACAAUUCAACCGAGAGCAGGGCGAGAGACAGAUCACCCUUAAACCCCAGUGAUGACAGAAAUGAUGAAGAUUCUAACUUGAGUGGUGGUGCUAAAGAUCGUAGUCGAGAUAGGGAACGUGACCGCUCCCGUAGAGGUGAUAGGCCAAGUCGUUUUGGGCCAAGAAGUUCAAGUCCUUCGCGAGAGCGUGAACGAGAUCGGGAACGUGAUCGUGGUGGAAAGAAAAGUUCAGCAGAUAGACGUAUCUUUGUUUCAAAUAUCGCAUAUGAAUUCCGCUGGCAAGAGCUAAAAGAUCUAUUCAGAACAGAAGUUGGUGAAGUUGCAUAUGUGGAACUAUUUCAUGAUGAAAAUGAUAAACCAAGAGGAUGUGGGAUUGUAGAGUUUGAAUCUGCAGAUUCAGUCAAAAAAGCUGUGGAGAAAAUGCAUCGCUAUGACCUCAAAGGGAGGAAACUGGUUGUGAAGGAAGAUUUUGACAUAGAGCGUGACAGAUAUGGCCGGCAACAGAAGAGUGGUGGUGGAGGAGGAGGUGGCGGUGUUGGAAGCAGCAGUGGUGGUGGUGGGGGUGGUGUUGGCAGUGGAGGUGGUGGUGGUGGCAGAAUUAGAGAUGAACCCAGAGGCAAAUGGGAUCCCACUCCAUCACUUGCUCCAGCAUUGAGUGCUGCUGUUGGUAGUUCUGGACAAAAGUGGGGAAACACUUACGGUCUCAGUCCACAAUUUCUUGAAUCUUUGUGGAUAAAUGGUCCUCUUGUGACAAGAGUUUUUGUUGCAAAUUUGGAUUAUAAGGUUGAUGAGAAGAAACUUAAAGAGGUGUUCAGGCUUGCAGGAAAAGUUGUCUCUGCUGAAUUAAGCCUUGACAAAGAAGGAAAAAGUCGAGGUUUUGGUGUUGUUGAAUAUGAGCAUCCUGUUGAAGCUGUGCAAGCCAUCUCCAUGUUACAUAAUCAGACAUUGUAUGAUCGAAAGUUAACUGUCCGGAUGGACAGAGUAGACCACAAACCUGAAGGGCCACCAAAAUUACCUGAAGGAUUACGAGGUUUGGGAAUGGGGCUUGGAGCUGGAGGAAAUCCUCUUCAGGAUGUUUCACGAAACCUGCCAUGUGCACAGGCAGCAACUGGUCUGACUGGGGCUGUACCUGGUGGAGCAGCAGCAGGAUUGGGUGCUGGGCUAGGUGCAGCAGCAUUGUCGAAUGUUGUCGGUCCCUCCACAUUAGGUCUUGGCAGCACAGCAGGCCUUCCGGCUGGUUUAGCAGGAGUAAGUGGUCUUGGUGGUGGUAGCCUUAUUGGCUCAACCCUUGGUGGGAGUGGUGAAAUAGGACUUGGUGCGAGUUUGGGAGGAGCUGGAGCAUUUGGAGGUUCAGGAUUGGGAGCAGGUCUUGGUCCUGCUGCUUCUGGUCUGGCAAGUCUUGGAGGUGGCAGCAGCUCUUAUGGAAGUGGGAUUGGAGCUGGAGGCUCCAGCUCAUAUGGCGCUGGAGCUGGAGGUGGUGGGUAUGGCAGUGGUUCAACCUCUGCCCUGGCUGCAGGCUCCGCAUAUGGCAGCAGUGGCAGAGAUUUUGAUUCCCUGAGUGCAGCACUUGGAGGCGGAGGUGCAGGAGGCUACAGCUCUAGUGUAGCCGAAAGAGACUACAGAGUGGGAACAGGUGGAGGUUCUGCCUAUGCUAAUGGUCCAGCACGUGGAUCGUUAGGUGCAGUUAGUGCUGGUAAUGGCAGUCGCAUAUCAGACACAGUUAUUGUUAAAAAUCUACCGCCUGCAGCAACAUGGCAGAUGCUGCGGGAUAAAUUCCGGGAAUGUGGAGAUGUUAAAUAUGCUGAAAUGCGAGGCAAAGACAUUGGUCUUGUGAGAUUCAGCAGUGACUGGGAUGCAGAACGUGCAGUCCACAUGAUGGAUCGUACUCGCCUGGAAGGCCGCAUAAUUGAUGUUGGUCUCUUCUACUAGAACAUAUAUUACAAAAAAUGCAUAUGCAUAAGCAGUUUCCUAGUGUGGUGUCAUCCUUUUUGCUCUUUAUGUACGUGCUGGCUGUUCAGUUUGCAUCAGCAGCAAAUGCCUGACUCCCUUACGACUAUAAGAAAUUCCAGAGGAGUUACAGAAUCUUGGACCCAUGACGGAUCAAGAUUAAGACUAGGGGACUUUGAAUGAAGCAUUACGGAAACUACAGGAGAGCUGAAAAAUGAUUUCAACAAAGAGAACUGCUUAUUUACCAAGACUGAAGACAAGUGGCAUGCCAAAGAAAGCUGCAACCAGAGUUAGCUCUGUAGUGACAGGAUGGUUACUGUGGAUGGACACUUCCUAUAAUGGUAUGUACAGAGUCCUUUUGUAAGAAUCUAGGUGUAUAGAGAUAUAAAAGGUACUUAUAUUGCUGUAGUCACAGCCUCUGUCUGCUUGUUAGAAUGCUUGAAUAGUACUUGUUCAACUCAAAUAUAAGGAAGGAUGGUGCCAUCAUCUGAGAAGAUGCCCCAAGUAGCAGUAUGUUGCCCAGUUGGAUGUGGAGGAGCCAGUAGUUCUGGUGCAUCAGUGGAUUGUAAGCAUCCAGGUAAUUUGCAUCAUGGUCACAAUUGGCCCACAUAGCACUGAGUGUCUUGAGCAGCAUUUGAUACCCCUUAAACUUUUAUCAUCUGUGUGAUGUACUACAGUCAGUCUGCAGGUGUGGGUCAAGGAGGCCAACUAUCACACUGUCUGUAAAAUAAUAAAUAUAUUCCCCCACCCCCCCACCCCAAAUUGAAAUCUGACUGCUAGCACUGUAGUAGUGGGAGAUUUAAAUCCCUAAUUCUAAGACAGUAAAGGUUAAUAUCUGGAGGGCAUAUCAGGCUGCCUAUCCAGCUGAGUUGAAGAGCAUAGGCCAUGUUGAGGAACCUGUCCUGAGAACCACUGUUGUUGAUCCAACCAGUGCCAUUAUCCUGCCUGAUGUUCCAUGCCAGAUUGCCUGCUUUUGUCUUCUGCUGAUUCCUGCUAAUAGAGCAGGACAUCCCAAGAGCGAGCAUAACCCAGAUCAGCUGAGGAUGGCCUUGGUGAAGCCAGAGGUAAUGUCCUUUUGUACUCUUUUGGAAUUUGAGACAGCUGGUAAGCUUGUGUUUAACCUUGUAUCUCAUUCACAGUUGCAGUGAGGCAUGGAGCUGUGUUAAUACCAAAAGCUGGUGGGCACUGAAGGCUGUGAUGUGUUCUUGCUGGAUCCGGUAUCAUUCCUGGUUGCAUAUGCUGGAUGGGCUGUUAUGCCUUCUAUCCACUGUUGGGUCUUGUGGUGAUCUUUCUUUUCUUACACAGUUCAGCAGUGUGAUCUAUUUUUUCUUGCCAUUUUUGUGUGCUUAUUGAUCAUUUUAAGGUUUGUUCAUGCUUUCAUUUCUUGUAUAAUUCCAUUUGUUUUAUAGUAUUCAUACUGUGAUUUCAAAACACCACCUACUGGCACAUUUUUAAAUAUAUUUGUUUGCUUCAGUUUUUAAUACAUUUUGAACUGUAAUAAAUUUAUCCUUAAAAUGAGUUACAUUCAGCUUCCACAAUGAUAACAAAUUACAUGUUCUGUUUGUGACAUGUGAGAAUUUGUAAUGGAAGAAUGAACAACUCUGUAGGCAAUUGUGAUGUACACUGUAAAGUAUGAAGAUCAGAAUAAUUAAAUACAAAAGAGAUGAUGAUAUGGA